GCAGUAGCCGCGGUAAUACGUAGGGCGCGAGCGUUAAUCGGAAUUACUGGGCGUAAAGCGUGCGCAGGCGGCUUUGCAAGACAGAUGUGAAAUCCCCGGGCUCAACCUGGGAACUGCAUUUGUGACUGCAAGGCUAGAGUGCGGCAGAGGGAGAUGGAAUUCCGCGUGUAGCAGUGAAAUGCGUAGAUAUGCGGAGGAACACCGAUGGCGAAGGCAAUCUCCUGGGCCUGCACUGACGCUCAUGCACGAAAGCGUGGGGAGCAAACAGGAUUAGAUACCCCUGUAGUCCCUGUCUCUUAUAC
rnacentral:rRNA from 1 species